GACGAACGCUGGCGGCGUGCUUAACACAUGCAAGUCGAACGGAAAGGCCCCUUUUGGGGUCCUCGAGUGGCGAACGGGGGAGUAACACGUGAGUAACCUGCCCUUGACUUCGGGAUAACUUCAGGAAACUGGGGCUAAUACCGGAUAGGAAUCCUUGCUGCAUGGUGGGGGUUGGAAAGCUUCGGCGGUUUUGGAUGGACUCGCGGCUGAUCAGCUUGUUGGUGGGGUAGUGGCUUACCAAGGCUUUGACGGGUAGCCGGCCUGAGAGGGCGACCGGCCACAUUGGGACUGAGAUACGGCCCAGACUCCUACGGGAGGCAGCAGUGGGGAAUAUUGCACAAUGGGCGGAAGCCUGAUGCAGCACCGCCGCGUGCGGGAUGACGGCCUUCGGGUUGUAAACCGCUUUCAGCAGGGGCGAAGCUUGUGGUGACGGUACCUGCAGAAGAAGCACCGGCUAACUACGUG
rnacentral:rRNA from 1 species